CGGAGAAGAAGGAGAGGCACGGGUUGGAGAAGGAUUCCCGCUCGCUGUGGACCUGGGCGGGGUCCGUGCGUUUCUCUCUCGACCGGAUCAAUAGUCAAGUUAUUCACUGACUAUAUGGUUGAGGCGAAGGAAAACGUUGACAGGAACCUUGUUGCCACCAUUGCUAAUGGUACACAGGAUUCAGUCAAGCUCUUCAUGAAAAUAAUCUCACGUCAUUUGGAGGAGCAACCUCAAGGCAAGCACCCG